rnacentral:lncRNA from 1 species
UAUGAUAAAUACAUAUACCUCAAGUAGAUGUUUUUUAUGUAACAUGACGUCAUACAGAUUAUAGGUUUGACAUGACGUCAUACAGAUUAGGGAUUUGAAAGCCUUUGCAACAGUGACUGCAAUCGAUGACGUGACGUCAUACAGAUUAGAGGUGUGAUAAAGCUUUUGCAACCGUGCUGAUAUCGAUAUCAUCACGGGUGGCUGAUACAGC